rnacentral:rRNA from 1 species
UACGAAGGGGGCUAGCGUUGUUCGGAAUUACUGGGCGUAAAGCGCACGUAGGCGGACAUUUAAGUUGGAGGUGAAAGCCUUGGGCUCAACCCAAGAAUUGCCUUUGAUACUGGAUGUCUCGAGACCGGGAGAGGUGAGUGGAAUUCCGAGUGUAGAGGUGAAAUUCGUAGAUAUUCGGAAGAACACCAGUGGCGAAGGCGGCUCUCUGGGCUGUAACUGACGCUGAGGCGCGAAAGCGUGGGGAGCGAACAGG